rnacentral:rRNA from 1 species
CUGAGGAUGAAAGCGGGGGACCUUCGGGCCUCGCGCUAUAGGGUUGGCCGAUGGCUGAUUAGCUAGUUGGUGGGGUAAAGGCCUACCAAGGCGACGAUCAGUAGCUGGUCUGAGAGGACGACCAGCCACACUGGGACUGAGACACGGCCCAGACUCCUACGGGAGGCAGCAGUGGGGAAUUUUGGACAAUGGGCGAAAGCCUGAUCCAGCAGUGCCGCGUGUGUGAAGAAGGCCUUCGGGUUGUAAAGCACUUUUGUCCGGAAAGAAAUCCUUGGUUCUAAUAUAGCCGGGGGAUGACGGUACCGGAAGAAUAAGCACCGGCUAACUACGCGCCAGCAGCCGCGGUAAUACGUAGGGUGCAAGCGUUAAUCGGAAUUACUGGGCGUAAAGCGUGCGCAGGCGGUUUGCUAAGACCGAUGUGAAAUCCCCGGGCUCAACCUGGGAACUGCAUUGGUGACUGGCANGCUAGAGUAUGGCAGANGGGGGUAGAAUUCCACGUGUAGCAGUGAAAUGCGUAGAGAUGUGGAGGAAUACCGAUGGCGAANGCAGCCCCCUGGGCCGAUACUGACGCUCAUGCACGAAAGCGUGGGGAGCAAACCGGAUUAGAUACCCUGGUAGUCCACGCCCUAAACGAUGUCAACUAGUUGUUGGGGAUUCAUUUCCUUAGUAACGUANCUAA